rnacentral:misc_RNA from 1 species
ACAAUAUAUUCUUAUUAUGUUAUAAAUUAUGAACUCUUAAAUUUUUAAACGAUGAUUAUCAUUGUGCAUGUGCUCAACUCCCAUUUAAAUUUGAUCCAAUAAUUAAAUGAUAAAAAAAGGAUAAUGAGUUAAAUCAAAAGGUCAGAAUAUAUCAAUAUAAAAGGUCAUAAUUUGACAACUAUAAUUACAGAAGUAAAUUAACCAAA